rnacentral:rRNA from 1 species
AACGGUAACGUGGGGAGGAGCUUGCUCCGCCCCGACGACGAGUGGCGAACGGGUGAGUAAUACAUCGGAACGUGUCCGCUCGUGGGGGACAACCAGCCGAAAGGUUGGCUAAUACCGCAUGAGUUCUACGGAAGAAAGAGGGGGACCCGCAAGGGCCUCUCGCGAGCGGAGCGGCCGAUGACUGAUUAGCCGGUUGGUGAGGUAACGGCUCACCAAAGCAACGAUCAGUAGCUGGUCUGAGAGGACGACCAGCCACACUGGGACUGAGACACGGCCCAGACUCCUACGGGAGGCAGCAGUGGGGAAUUUUGGACAAUGGGCGCAAGCCUGAUCCAGCUAUUCCGCGUGUGGGAUGAAGGCCCUCGGGUUGUAAACCACUUUUGUAGAGAACGAAAAGACACCAUCGAAUAAAUGGUGUUGCUGACGGUACUCUAAGAAUAAGCACCGGCUAACUACGUGCCAGCAGCCGCGGUAAUACGUAGGGUGCGAGCGUUAAUCGGAAUUACUGGGCGUAAAGGGUGCGCAGGCGGUUGAGUAAGACAGAUGUGAAGUCCCCGAGCUUAACUCGGGAAUGGCAUAUGUGACUGCUCGACUAGAGUGUGUCAGAGGGAGGUGGAAUUCCACGUGUAGCAGUGAAAUGCGUAGAUAUGUGGAAGAACACCGAUGGCGAAGGCAGCCUCCUGGGACAUAACU